GUCCUACGGGGGGCAGCAGUAGGGAAUUUUCGUCAAUGGGCGCAAGCCUGAACGAGCAAUGCCGCGUGAACGAGGAAGGUCUUCGGAUCGUAAAGUUCUGUUGAAGGGGAAAAAGAGCGGAGAGAGGAAAUGGUCUCCGAUUGAUAUUACCCUUCGAGGAAGUCACGGCUAACUACGUGCCAGCAGCCGCGGUAAUACGUAGGGGGCAAGCGUUAUCCGGAUUUACUGGGUGUAAAGGGAGCGUAGACGGCGCGGCAAGUCUGAAGUGAAAGGCAGGGGCUUAACCCCUGAACUGCUUUGGAAAC
rnacentral:rRNA from 1 species